rnacentral:lncRNA from 1 species
CUCUGAUACCAAAGGCUCUCUGUGUUUUAUGCGGUUUAAACGUUGUAGGGGAGAGCACAGUCUCAAAGAUUAUCAUGUGAUAUUCGAAGACGAGAUCACAUUUUGCCAGGACAAGGAUUUAAAGGAACCAGUUUCACCAUCAUUUCCACUGGAUACACACACUUGCCUCUUUUUUUCUUUGUUGCUAUGAUGGCAGUUGAAGGAUCUCUCUUCGACAAAUGCGCAAGAUGGCGAGUAUUUCAAGGACUGCUACGGAAAAUACAAAUGCUGCUUUUCCUGCUGUGUGUUGCUAACGUGGUUGAUGGUCAGAUUCGUUAUUCUAUACCAGAGGAGAUGAAGAAAGGCUCUGUUAUCGGUAAUGUGGCUCAAGAUCUUGGUUUGGAUCUGAGAAGGCUCCGUGCAGGGCGGGCCCGUAUCGUGAGUGGAGAAAACAUCCAGUACACCGAGCUGAAGACAGACAAAGGGACUCUGGUCGUGAAUGAGAGAAUUGACCGAGAGCAGCUCUGUGGAGACACGACUCCGUGUAGCUUCAGCUUUGAGAUGAUUUUAGAGAAUCCCAUUGAACUGCAUCGAAUAACUAUCGAGGUUUUAGACAUAAACGAUCACGCUCCCGUUUUCCCAAAAAUUGACAAGCCUAUCCGCCUCGAGAUAAGUGAAUCAGCGGUGGUAGGAGUACAGUUUCCCCUGCAGAGUGCGGAAGAUUUAGAUGUUGGACAAAACGCCUUGCAAGAUUAUAUUUUAUCAGCCAACGACAAUUUUAUAUUAAAGCAGCAUGCAAAUCCCGACGGAAGUAAAUAUGUAGAAAUGGUGCUCCAGAAGCCUUUAGACCGAGAGCGACAUCCACACUUGUCUCUGAAACUGAUCGCAGUCGACGGAGGAACACCACAGAGAUCUGGUACAGUAAAUAUAGAAAUCACUGUCUUAGAUGCGAACGACAACGCUCCAGUUUUUAACCAAUCCGUGUAUAAAGCCUCUGUGUUUGAGAACACACUGAAGGGCACGAGAGUUAUAACAGUAAACGCCACAGACGCUGAUAGUGGUUCUAAUGGAGUCAUCAGUUACAGUUUAUCUAAUACUAAAGGUAGUGCGGAAGAUUUGUUUAGCAUUGAUGAAAAAACAGGCACUAUAUCUGUAAAUGGUCCCCUAGAUUAUGAAAAAGACAGAAAAUAUGAGGUGAGGGUGGAGGCUAGGGAUCAAGGUGGAUUAACAGGAACAAGUAAAGUUAUAUUUGAUGUUUUUGAUGUUAAUGACAAUGCUCCAGUGAUAAACAUUAUGUCUUUUUCUAGCACUGUAUCUGAAGAUGCCCUUGUCGGUACCACAAUUGCUGUUUUAAACAUUAAAGAUGCGGAUUCUGAUAAAAAUGGACAAAUAAAAUGUUCGAUCGAGGGAAAACUGCCUUUCAAGAUUGAAUCAUCUCUGACAAACUAUUAUAAUUUGAUCUCAGAUCAACAUUUUGAUAGAGAAUCUGUCUCAGAAUAUAACAUCACAAUAACAGCCACUGAUUUCGGUUCUCCGCCUCUUUCCACCUCCACAAAAUUGCACCUAAAGAUUUCUGACGUAAAUGACAACGCGCCAUUAUUUGACAAAACAAUUUACUCUGCUUACAUCACAGAAAAUAAUCCACCUGGAGUAUCCAUAUUUACUGUCAGCGCGAGAGACUCAGAUUGGGGCCAAAAUGCAAGAAUCUCGUAUAUUUUAGAGGAUACACAGGUCAGUGGUAGUCCAGUCUCGACUUAUGUGAGUCUAAACUCUGAAACUGGAGUUCUCAGCGCAGUUCGUUCUCUUGAUUAUGAGCAAAUCAAAUAUCUUCAGCUGGUAGUCAAAGCUCAGGAUGGAGGCUCCCCUCCACUCAGCAGCAACGUGACAGUGAAAAUAGUGAUCCAGGACCAGAAUGACAACCCUCCUCAGGUCCUGUACCCGGUCCAGACUGGUGGUUCUCUGGUGGCUGAGAUGGUUCCUUGUGCAGCAGAUGUGGGCUAUCUAGUGACUAAAGUGGUAGCUGUGGAUGUGGACUCUGGACAGAAUGCCUGGCUGUCGUAUAAACUGCAGAAAGCCACAGACAGGGCGCUGUUUGAAGUGGGCUUACAGAAUGGAGAAAUCCGAACUAUCCGCCAAGUGAGUGAUAAAGAUGCUGUGAAACAAAGACUGACUGUGAUAGUGGAGGACAACGGGCAGCCGUCUCGUUCAGCUACAGUCAUUGUGAACGUGGCGGUGGCGGACAGCUUCCCUGAAGUGCUGUCAGAGUUCACUGACUUUACACACGACAAGGAGUACAAUGACAACCUGACUUUUUACUUAGUGCUGGCUUUGGCUGUAGUGUCCUUCCUCUUCAUCACGUGUUUGGUGGUCAUUAUAUCAGUGAAGAUCUACAGAUGGAGACAGUCUCGUAUCCUGUAUCACUCCAGUCUUCCCGUGAUUCCCUAUUAUCCUCCACGUUACUCAGACACUCUGGGCACAGGGACUCUUCCACACGUGUACAAUUACGAGGUGUGCAGGACGACUGACUCGAGAAAGAGUGACUGUAAGUUCGGCAGAGCUGGUAGUCAGAACGUGCUGAUAAUGGACCCCAGUUCUACAGGGACCAUGCAGAGGAUACAGAGUGAGAAGAGCAUCCUGGACGAACCAGACUCUCCACUGGAGGUAUUGUAACACCUGAUAUUUGGCAUUGUUUUUGUUGUAUUUUAUAAAAAUUCGAGCUACGCAUUCGACAUCUAUAUCUCCACAUUCAGCACCGUGGACAGCACCCUUUUCGGUUCAGGGAUCUUCCCAGGAAUUUUUUACCUAUAAAGCCUGCAGAUAUUUUGCAAGAUUCAUUUUAAUUAUAGAUGGCUUUGAAGUCGAGUUACACCACUCCAAAUAUUGCCUUUACGUUGUGCAUAGAUGCUUCUGCACGCAUGCAACUUUUCUAACCCUAAUUUAAAUCUACUCCUAUUGCUCCAAAAUAACUUCGCAUAAAUGUGAUGAACACAAACGAGUGUUAAUAUCACUGACAUACAACUGUUACUUGCUGUAUAGAAUAGGAAUCAAAGGGCCAUUACUCAACACAUUUAGCUCAGUAUAAAAUAGUGAAGAUGGUUCUGGCAUUAGUGAUAUCGUGGAUGAACCAGAUUCUCCAGAGGUCACCUGAAUAACUGACCUUUUUCCGUGUCCCAUGUUUUCAGCUUGAAAUGUGCGUUGUUAUUGAACGUCAGAUAUAGUACCAUGGACAGCACUUCGGCCACUCUGUGUUUUUCUAAGGGAAGUUUGCAGUAGUCUUAAUCUAGGCGAUGUUUAUGUUGGCGUCGAUGUCAUACUGGACGGUUUUUUGUAUCCUGUAGAAAGAUGCCUUCAUAUUGAGUAUUACUAUAUAGUAUGUAUCCUUUCAUAGUAUGUAUGUUGUCUAUGCACCCCUUGUUCAAAUCGUCAAUCUUCAGGGUUGAAUGAUAACAAAUAUAUAUUACAGGGUCUACAAUUUUAAAGCUCUUCGUCAGUGUCAUGUAUGUUUCAUUUUACAAGAUAAAAACACCCAGUAUCCUGAUUUUCAUAUCGUUUAUGCCUUUUUACAGUUAUCUUACCGCCAUCGACUAUGAAGCCUAAUUAUUUGUUAGCUGUGUAUUUUUGAAAACUUCCCCUUAUUAUCUGAUUCUAAUUUGUGUAUCGACCUCAAUGUUGAGCAUAGGAACGUGUCUAGUCCAUCACUAAUGUUCAGCGCCGGCACUGUUUUAUUGAUUGUUCCCCUUUUAGACUCUAAGGGACGCUGUUGGUCAGCAAAACAUUUUCUGUGCUUCGUCGUCAUCCAGUCCACCCCACCCCCGUCUGACUACAUAAUACAGAGGACUCUGUGUUUUAUCGAGGUUGAGGUGAUGCCGUCUCAUAGAUUCUCAUAUGAAGGUUGAAAACGUGUUCUUUGGCUGCCAGAGCAAAAUAUUACAGGAACCAGUUUCACCAUCAUUUCUACUGGAUACACAGACACAGAUUUUUUUUUCUUUGUUGCUAUGAUGGCAAUUGGAGGAUCUCUCGUGUACAAAUGCGCAAGAUGGCGAGUGUUUCAAGGACUGCUACGGAAAUUACAAAUGCUGCUUUUCCUGCUGUGUGUUGCUAACGUGGUUGAUGGUCAGAUUCGUUAUUCUAUACCAGAGGAGAUGAAGAAAGGCUCUGUUAUCGGUAAUGUGGCUCAAGAUCUCGGGUUGGAUCUGAGAAGGCUCCGUGCAGGGCGGGCCCGUAUCGUGAGUGGGGAAAACAUCCAGUACACCGAGCUGAAGACAGACAAAGGGACUCUGGUCGUGAAUGAGAGAAUUGACCGAGAGCAGCUCUGUGGAGACACGACUCCGUGUAGCUUCAGCUUUGAGAUGAUUUUAGAGAAUCCAAUGGAAUUACACAGAAUCACUGUCGAGGUUUUGGACAUAAAUGAUCAUGCUCCUGUUUUCCCUGAUAAUGAUAAACCUAUCCGUUCAGAAAUAAGUGAAUCAGCUGCAGUCGGAUUGAAGUUACCUCUACAGAAUGCAAUGGAUCUGGAUGUUGGACAAAACGCUUUACAAGAUUACAUUUUAUCAACCAACGACAAUUUUAUAUUGAAGCAACAUUCGAAUCCAGACGGAAAUAAAUAUGUAGAAAUGGUGCUCCAGAAGCCUUUAGACCGAGAGCGACAUCCACACUUGUCCUUAAAACUGAUCGCAGUCGACGGAGGAACACCACAGAGAUCUGGUACAGUAAAUAUAGAAAUCACUGUCUUAGAUGCGAACGACAAUAUUCCGAUUUUUAACCAAUCCGUUUAUAAAGCCUCUGUGUUUGAAAACACAAUGAAGGGUGCAAGAAUUAUCACAGUAAAUGCAACAGACGCUGACAGUGGUUCAAAUGGAGUCAUUAGUUACAGUUUGUCUAACAUUAAAGGAAGUACGACAGGUGAGUUCAGUAUUGAUGAAAAAACAGGAACUAUAUCUGUAAAUGGUCCAAUAGAUUAUGAAAAAGAAAAAAAGUACGAGGUUAGGGUGGAGGCUAAAGACCAAGGUGGCUUUAUCGGAACAAGUAAAGUUAUAGUUGAUGUUUUUGAUGUUAAUGACAAUGCUCCAGUGAUCAACAUUAUGUCGUUUUCUAGUCCUGUAUCUGAAGAUGCUCCUCCUGGUACAACGAUUGCUAUUUUGAAUAUAAAAGAUACGGAUUCUGAUAAAAAUGGACAAAUAAAAUGUUCGCUCGAUGGGAAACUGCCUUUCAAGAUUGAAUCAUCUCUGACAAACUAUUACAAUUUGAUCUCAGAUCAACAUUUUGAUAGAGAAUCUGUCUCAGAAUAUAACAUCACAAUAACAGCCACUGAUUUCGGUUCUCCGCCUCUUUCCACCUCCACAAAAUUGCACCUAAAGAUUUCUGACGUAAAUGACAACGCGCCAUUAUUUGAUAAAACAAUUUACUCUGCUUACAUCACAGAAAAUAAUCCACCUGGAGUAUCCAUAUUUACUGUCAGCGCGAGAGACUCAGAUUGGGGCCAAAAUGCAAGAAUCUCGUAUAUUUUAGAGGAUACACAGGUCAGUGGUAGUCCAGUCUCGACUUAUGUGAGUCUAAACUCUGAAACUGGAGUUCUCAGCGCAGUUCGUUCUCUUGAUUAUGAGCAAAUCAAAUAUCUUCAGCUUGUAGUCAAAGCUCAGGAUGGAGGCUCCCCUCCACUCAGCAGCAACGUGACAGUGAAAAUAGUGAUCCAGGACCAGAACGACAACCCCCCUCAGGUCCUGUACCCGGUCCAGACUGGUGGCUCUCUGGUGGCUGAGAUGGUCCCUCGUGCGGCAGAUGUGGGCUAUCUGGUGACUAAAGUGGUGGCUGUGGAUGUGGACUCUGGACAGAAUGCCUGGCUAUCGUAUAAACUGCAGAAAGCCACAGACAGGGCGCUGUUUGAAGUGGGCUUACAGAAUGGAGAAAUCCGAACUAUCCGCCAAGUGAGUGAUAAAGAUGCUGUGAAACAAAGACUGACUGUUAUAGUGGAGGACAACGGGCAGCCGUCUCGUUCAGCUACAGUCAUUGUGAACGUGGCGGUGGCGGACAGCUUCCCUGAAGUGCUGUCAGAGUUCACUGACUUUACACACGACAAGGAGUACAAUGAGAACCUGACUUUUUACUUAGUGCUGGCUUUGGCUGUAGUGUCCUUCCUCUUCAUCACGUGUUUGGUGGUCAUUAUAUCAGUGAAAAUCUACAGAUGGAGACAGUCUCGUAUCCUGUAUCACUCCAGUCUUCCAGUGAUUCCCUAUUAUCCUCCACGUUACUCAGACACUCUGGGCACAGGGACUCUUCCACACGUGUACAAUUACGAGGUGUGCAGGACGACUGACUCGAGAAAGAGUGACUGUAAGUUCGGCAGAGCUGGUAGUCAGAACGUGCUGAUAAUGGACCCCAGUUCUACAGGGACCAUGCAGAGGAUACAGAGUGAGAAGAGCAUCCUGGACGAACCAGACUCUCCACUGGAGGUAUUGUAACACCUGAUAUUUGGCAUUGUUUUUGUUGUAUUUAAUAAAAAUUCGAACUACGCAUUCGACAUCUAUAUCUCCACAUUCAGUACCAUGGACAGCACCCCUUUUCCGUUCAGGGAUCUCCCUAGGAAUUUUUAACCUUUAAAGACUGCAGAUAUCCCGCAAGAUUCAUUUUAAUUAUAGAUGGCUUUGAAGUCGAGUUACACCACUCCAAAUAUUGCCUUUACGUUGUGCAUAGAUGCUUCUGCACGCAUGCAACUUUUCUAACCCUAAUUUAAAUCUACUCCUAUUGCUCCAAAAUAACUUCGCAUAAAUGUGAUGAACACAAACGAGUAUUAAUAUCACUGACAUACAACUGAUACUUGCUGUAUAGAAUAGGAAUCAAAGGGCCAUUACUCAACGCAUUUAGCUCAGUAUAAAAUAGUUAAGAUGGUUCUGGCAUUAGUGAUAUCGUGGAUGAACCAGUCUCUCCAGAGGUCACCUGAAUAACUGACCUUUUUCCGUGUCCCAUGUUUUCAGCUUGAAAUGUGCUCGGUUAUUGAACGUCACAUAUAGUACCAUAGACAGCACUUCGGCCACUCUGUGUUUUUCUAAGGGAAUAUUGCAGUAGUCUUAAUCUAGGCGACGUUUAUGUUGGUGUAGAUGUCAUACUGGCCGGUUAUUUGUAUCCCGUAGAAAGAUGCCUUCAUAUUAAGUAUUACUAUGUGUCCUUAUAUAGUAUGUAUGUUGUCUAUGCACCCCUUGUUCAAAUCGUCAAUCUUUAGGGUUGAAUGAUAACAAAUAUAUAUUACAGGGUCUACAAUUUUAAAGCUCCUCGUCAGUGUCAUGUAUGUUUCAUUUUACAAGAUAAAAACACCCAGCAUUCGGGUUUUCAUAUCAUGCGUUUGUGCCUUUUUACAGAGUUACCUUACUGUCAUCGAAUAUGAAGCCUAAUUAUUUGUUAGCCGUGUAUUUUUGAAAACUUCCCCUUAUUCUCUGAUUCUAAUUUGGAUAUCGACCUCAAUGUUUAGUACCUGACAUCCAGGACCGUGUCUAGUCCAUCACCGUGUUCAACACCGGCACUGUUUCAUUGAUUGUUCCCCUUUUAGACUCUAAGGGACGCUGUUGGUCAGCAAAACAUUUUCUGUGCUUCGUCGUCAUCCAGUCCACCCCACCCCCGUCUGACUACAUAAUACAGAGGACUCUGUGUUUUAUCGAGGUUUAGGUGAUGCCGUCUCAUAGAUUCUCAUAUGAAGGUUGAAAACGUGUUCUUAGGCUGCCAGAGCAAGGAUUUAUAGGAACCAGUUUCACCAUCAUUUCUACUGGAUACACAGACACAGAUUUUUUUGUUUUUUGUUGCUAUGAUGGCAAUUGAAGGAUCUCUCGUCUACAAAUGCGCAAGAUGGCGAGUAUUUCAAGGACUGCUACGGAAAUUACAAAUGCUGCUUUUCCUGCUGUGUGUUGCUAACGUGGUUGAAUGUCAGAUUCGUUAUUCUAUACCAGAGGAGAUGAAGAAAGGCUCUGUUAUCGGUAACGUGGCUCAAGAUCUCGGAUUGGAUCUGAGAAGGCUCCGUGCAGGGCGGGCCCGUAUCGUGAGUGGAGAAAACAUCCAGUACACCGAGCUGAAGACAGACAAAGGGACUCUGGUCGUGAAUGAGAGGAUAGACCGAGAGCAGCUCUGUGGAGACACGACUCCGUGUAGCUUCAGCUUUGAGAUGAUUUUAGAGAAUCCAAUGGAGUUACACAGAAUCACUGUCGAGGUUUUGGACAUAAACGAUCACGCUCCUGUUUUCCCUGAUAAUGAUAAGCCUAUUACAUUUGAGGUUAGUGAAACAGCUGCAAUCGGGGUCCGAUAUCCACUGCAGAGCGCAGAAGAUUUUGAUGUUGGCCAAAACGCUUUACAAGAUUACAUUUUAUCAGCCAACGACAAUUUUAUACUGAAGCAACAUGCGAAUCCAGACGGGAGUAAAUAUGUAGAAAUGGUGCUCCAGAAGCCUUUAGACCGAGAGCGACAUCCACACUUGUCCUUAAAACUGAUCGCAGUGGACGGAGGAACACCACAGAGAUCUGGUACAGUAAAUAUAGAAAUCACUGUCUUAGAUGCGAACGACAAUAUUCCGAUUUUUAACCAGUCCGUUUAUAAAGCCUCUGUGUUUGAAAACACAAUGAAGGGAACAAAAAUUAUCACAGUAAAUGCCACAGACGCUGACAGUGGUUCAAAUGGACUCAUUAGUUACAGUUUGUCCAAGAAGAAAGGGAGUGCAGGAGAUCUUUUUAUUAUUAAUGAAAAAACAGGCACUAUAUCUGUAAAUGGUCCCCUAGAUUAUGAAAAAGAAAAAAAGUACGAGGUGAGAGUGGAGGCUAAAGAUCAAGGUGGUUUAAUAGGAACAAGUAAAGUUAUAUUUGAUGUUUUUGAUGUUAAUGACAAUGCUCCAGUGAUAAACAUUAUGUCGUUUUCUAGUCCUGUAUCUGAAGAUGCUCCUCCUGGUACAACGAUUGCUAUUUUGAAUAUCAAAGAUGCGGAUUCUGAUAAAAAUGGGCAAAUAAAAUGUUCAGUCGAUGGGAAACUGCCAUUUAAGAUUGAAUCAUCUCUGACAAACUAUUAUAAUUUGAUCUCAGAUCAACAUUUUGAUAGAGAAUCUGUCUCAGAAUAUAACAUCACAAUAACAGCCACUGAUUUCGGUUCUCCGCCUCUUUCCACCUCCACAAAAUUGCACUUAAAAAUUUCUGACGUAAAUGACAACGCGCCAUUAUUUGAUAAAACAAUUUACUCUGGUUACAUCACAGAAAAUAAUCCACCUGGAGUAUCCAUAUUUACUGUCAGUGCGAGAGACUCAGAUUGGGGCCAAAAUGCGAGAAUCUCGUAUAUUUUAGAGGAUACACAGGUCAGUGGAAGUCCAGUCUCGACUUAUGUGAGUUUAAACUCUGAAACUGGAGUUCUCAGCGCAGUUCGUUCUCUUGAUUAUGAGCAAAUCAAAUAUCUUCAGCUGGUAGUCAAAGCUCAGGAUGGAGGCUCCCCUCCACUCAGCAGCAACGUGACAGUGAAAAUAGUGAUCCAGGACCAGAACGACAACCCUCCUCAGGUCCUGUACCCGGUCCAGACCGG